rnacentral:rRNA from 1 species
AACGAACGCUGGCGGCAUGCCUAACACAUGCAAGUCGAACGAGACCUUCGGGUCUAGUGGCGCACGGGUGCGUAACGCGCGGGAACCUGCCCUUAGGUUCGGAAUAACUCCCCGAAAGGGGUGCUAAUACCGGAUAAUGUCUUCGGACCAAAGAUUUAUCGCCUUUGGAUGGGCCCGCGUUGGAUUAGCUAGUUGGUAGGGUAAAAGCCUACCAAGGUGACGAUCCAUAGCUGGUCUGAGAGGAUGAUCAGCCACACUGGGACUGAGACACGGCCCAGACUCCUACGGGAGGCAGCAGUGGGGAAUAUUGGACAAUGGGCGAAAGCCUGAUCCAGCAAUGCCGCGUGAGUGAUGAAGGCCUUAGGGUUGUAAAGCUCUUUUACCCGGGAUGAUAAUGACAGUACCGGGAGAAUAAGCUCCGGCUAACUCCGUG